AAAAUGUACGUUUCAUAGUCAUACUUUUAAAAUAAGAGGAGAAUAAGCAUGAGCAUGUCAAAUACAUGGCGGGCCAAAACAAAGAGAGCACGGGCCAAACUUGGCCCGCGGGCCCCAAAUUGGGCGGCCUUGACAGACAUACAAAAAGGCACAAAC